GUUGCUGUGGUGUAACGGUUAUCAUGUCUGCCUAACACGCAGAAGGUCCCUGGUUCGAUUCUGGGCAGAAACA